CACCUCCUCGUCUUUCCUGCAGGAAAAUACAAGCAAUUACCGUCCAUUUCUUUGGACUAAAAGAAGACUCAUCAUGCCAGAGGGUCUGUCUAAAUCUGACGAACAGACAUUUCUCGAUUUCGAAUUGACAUCUCUGUAGCAGUCACCUCCAAUGAGGAUGCAGGAAAUUGGUAUUGGAUUCUCUCUGUUGGAACUGCACCCAGCGCUGAGUAAGACAGAGGCCAUAUUGACUCCUGAUUGCCCCAGGACCUGAGCCCUAGGACCAUGCCCCAGGACUACCUGACAUGAUGACUCCUUGCUGUCCCCAGUCCACCUGGCCGUGCUGCUGCUCCAGUUUCAACUGUUCUGCCUUAUUAUUAUUCGACCAUGCUAGUCAUUUAUGAACAUUUGAACAUCUUGGCCAUGUUCUGUUAUAAUCUCCACCCGGCACAGCCAGAAGAGGACUGGCCACCCCACAUAGCCUGGUUCCUCUCUAGGUUUCUUCCUAGGUUUUGGCCUGUCUAGGGAGUUUUUCCUAGCCACCGUGCUUCUACACCUGUAUUGCUUGCUGUUUGGGGUUUUAGGCUGGGUUUCUGUAAGCACUUUGAGAUAUCAGCUGAUGUACGAAGCGCUAUAUGAAUACAUUUGAUUUGAUUUAACUGCGGUUGAACUUUUAACAGGAAAAAAAACGAUUGUUUUUUGCAGUGCUGAGCUAGUAUUGUAACUGACAUGUAACGUUUCAUUCCCUCAACUGACGUGAAUGAAUUAGCUACGUUAGCUAUUAGCUAGGACAGCCAUGUCAGCUCUAACCUCUAGCUAUCUGACAGAUAGUAAUAAUAGCCACCUCAUAUAGCUAUCUAACUAGUUGUUUGUAUAGACAUGUUUUGUAGCCUUUGUUUGGUCCCGUUUCAACAGGAGUAAAUUAACUUGGCUAGCUUUCGCCAGUUGAUGUACAGUUAGAGAGAGCUGGCCAAAAGUUGGCUAAAGUUAGCUAUUAUUUUUGCCUCAAUCACACUCGACCUGAAUCAAAUGAUGGAACCAUCAGCCAAACGAUUGAAGAGUUAUAUUCUGGCAUUUUUUCAGUACAAUGUACGUUUUUAUUAGUCAGUAUGGCAAUGUAAUGUUAUUGAUCUGUCAGUUCCCGAGCUAAUUCCCUACUUUUCACACUGACACAGUAAUAAACCGCUAUAAGGUUAAAGGAUUCACUGUCAUGGUGCACAGUAGAGGUCUGCGCAGGACCUUUUCAUACCGGAAUCCGCGUCAGCUGUUGGCUUCCUGUCUGACUCCCACCCGCUACCCCAAGAACUGGUCCCAGACCCAACUGCAGUCCCGCAAUGUUAUUUUAGGCGUAUGUGAUGCAGCUCACAUGCCAGCCAUGGUCCCAUUAAUUUUGCGCCCUAUAGGGAAUAUCAAAUGCAAAAAUUACUUAAGAAAUUGUUUAAAUUCCUAGAGAUUCUAGACUAUCUGUAUUACUGGGCUAUAUCGGCCAAAAUGCUAGAUGUAGUUUGAAGAGAGCAGAGUAUGAAAGACUUCCACAUUCUCUUGAGUUAUUUUCAUAGUUCCCUUUUAGGAGUGGGAAGAUUUUCAGACUGAGAAAUAUGGGUGACCAAUAUUUAGGCCUAUUUCGAGGCAACAUAGUAAGCUAUAUAGGAAGUACAUUUCCUUGGAAAGAUAACUGCCCGUGCUUCUCCGCCCAUGUAUAGGAUAUAGCCUACUCUAUUUAAUUGAGACCACACCUGAUCUCACAGGUAUGUCUACUGAACGGGAUGCAGCAAGAAUGAUGACAGCGACAUUUACUAUAUUUUUCAUAGGCUUAUAUGAUAUAGCCUAGCUUUUAGGAGGACAAUUUGCAGGCAGAGACAAAUAAAUGGUUAAUAAAUCAUUAUUGAAAAUGAAAAGGUGCAACGCUCGCUCACCAUUGUAGCCUAACUAAUGUGCGAGUUGUGCCUUUUCUUUUUCAAUGAUGAUUCCAUUUUUUGAUUGCACGGCGACUCACAUUGGUUGAGCACCCUCCUUUACUCCAUUAUCAAGCCUAUUUAUUUACAGACAAUUUAGCAAACUACAGUCUAAUCAUAUUUAAGUUAAUUUCAUAUUUAAAUUACCUGCCACGUAAUUCCCCACCCACGUUUGCAGCCUACUCUAUUUCAAUGAGACCACACAUACUAAGCGUACUUGAACUCUCAUUAUCAACUAGGAGAGGUAGGCCACUUAAGGAUGGCAGGACCUUAAAGCAGCGAAUUCUGUGUGUGUGAAUAAUGCGAAAAAUGUGCUUUUAAUACAAUAAGUAGGCUAACGCAUACAAAGCAGAAAGAGGACCGUUUCCAAAUAAUCGGUGGAUACAAAAAUGCUUUCAUCCAAAAGUCAUCCGUCUGACCGCCCACAGAAUGAAAAAUGCAGACCGUGCCGCAAUGAUUUCUGUCGGGGCCCGCAGGUCCCGUGGGAUGGCAGACCUUGAGUGCACAGUCAGUACACAACACUGCUCACCAUGUCUUAGUAGGAUCAGAUGGUGACAGGGGUCCCAGCAGGGUCACACAGCCAGGGAAGAAGUCUACAGAGCUCGGGUGAAUUUCGCAGUAUAUUAACAAUAUCAGUGAAUGAUACAAAGUUCCAUCUUAUAUUGAUGGGCAUAGCUACAGAACAGCAGUUUAAGCUUAAAGCUACAGUCUAGGAUCUGGGAAUAAUGGUAAUUUCCAUUAUUGGACCAUUAUUCUAUUCUUGGAUAAUAUACUGUAUAAAUGUACACUAAGGUAAUUCUUUGUCAUGCUUCAUCUUUUAUUGAUUUAUUUUUACCUUUAUUUAACUAGGCAAGUCAGUCAAGAGCACGGAUCAGAUGGUGACAGGGGUCUCAGCAGGGUCAGGCAGCCAGGGAAGACCAGUUUGUGAUGGAGCGGAGAUGAAUUUUAAACCAAUAGUCUAACAACCAAUACAGACUUUUGAUUGUUUUUCUUAAGACAUCCUCAAUAUCAAAUUUCAGCCAGCCCAAGCAGCCUGCACACCCAAACCACACCAGUCUAACUCAACUCUCUCCCAACACAAUUUCCUUCCCAGUUCCCACCAUUCAUUUUUUUCAAUUCCCAAGGAAAAUGUUUGGAAAUAAAAUAUUGACCUAGUUCAGUCUUAAACAUAUUUUAUUUA